rnacentral:rRNA from 1 species
UCCAGAGGGUGCGAGCGUUAACCGGAAUUACUGGGCGUAAAGCGCGCGUAGGCGGCUUUGCAAGUCGGGUGUGAAAUACCCAGGCUUAACCUGGGAACUGCAUUCGAGACUGCGUUGCUAGAGUAUGGGAGAGGGAAGUGGAAUUUCCGGUGUAGCGGUGAAAUGCGUAGAUACCGGAAGGAACAUCAGUGGCGAAAGCGACUUCCUGGAACAAUACUGACGCUCAUGUGCGAAAGCGUGGGGAGAAAACAGG